rnacentral:misc_RNA from 1 species
UGGCGGCGUGGAGGGGCGCCGGUGGCCACGUUGGUGUCAACCUCCUUCGUGAAGCUCACACCUCCCCCGCCCCGGGAGGGGUUUGCCCGCCACUGUCGCUGAAUGAUUGCAUCAUCGAAAGCAGAAAACCACUUUUGCAUCCUUCGGCCUCUGGCGUGCCUGCCAUGACGUCAUAGCUCUGCGGAGGUGGAAGUUGGGGAGCUUUGAGGCCUCCUCUGUAGAAUGGAAACUCUGUACCCCUGCUUGUCUUAGGACCUCAUGGAUCCCAGGGGGACCAAGAGAGGAGCUGAGAAGACAGAGGUAGCUGAGCCUCGGAACAAACUACCUCGUCCAGCACCUUCUCUGCCCACAGACCCUGCCCUCUACUCUGGGCCCUUUCCUUUCUACCGGCGCCCUUCGGAACUGGGCUGCUUCUCCCUGGAUGCUCAACGCCAGUACCAUGGAGAUGCCCGAGCCCUGCGCUACUAUAGCCCACCCCCCACUAACGGUCCAGGCCCCAACUUUGACCUCAGAGACGGAUACCCGGAUCGAUACCAGCCCCGGGACGAGGAGGUCCAGGAAAGGCUGGACCACCUGCUGUGCUGGCUCCUGGAACACCGAGGCCGGUUGGAGGGGGGUCCAGGCUGGCUGGCAGAGGCCAUAGUGACGUGGCGGGGGCACCUGACAAAACUGCUGACGACACCGUAUGAGCGGCAGGAGGGCUGGCAGCUGGCAGCCUCCCGGUUCCAGGGAACACUAUACCUGAGUGAAGUGGAGACACCGAACGCUCGGGCCCAGAGGCUUGCUCGGCCACCGCUCCUCCGGGAGCUUAUGUACAUGGGAUACAAAUUUGAGCAGUACAUGUGUGCAGCCGCCUGGGAAGCCACCCUCUGCUCUUCUCAGGGGAGGUAGACUGCACAGACCCCCAAGCCCCAUCCACACAGCCCCCAACCUGCUAUGUGGAGCUCAAGACCUCCAAGGAGAUGCACAGCCCUGGCCAAUGGAGGAGUUUCUACAGACACAAGCUCCUGAAAUGGUGGGCUCAGUCAUUCCUCCCAGGGGUCCCGAAUGUUGUUGCUGGCUUCCGUAACCCAGACGGUUUUGUCUCUUCCC